UACGGAGGGUGCAAGCGUUAUCCGGAUUCACUGGGUUUAAAGGGUGCGUAGGUGGGUCUGUAAGUCAGUGGUGAAAUCUCCAAGCUUAACUUGGAACUGCCGUUGAUACUAUAGAUCUUGAAUGCUGUGGAGGUGAGCGGAAUAUGUCAUGUAGCGGUGAAAUGCUUAGAUAUGACAUAGAACACCAAAUUGCGAAGGCAGCUCACUACCCAGAUAUUGACACUGAGGCACGAAAGCGUGGGGAUCAAACAGG
rnacentral:rRNA from 1 species